rnacentral:rRNA from 1 species
UACGGGGGGAGCAAGCGAUGUUCGGAUUUACUGGGCGUAAAGGGCGCGUAGGCGGCCACCGCAAGUCGACUGUGAAAUCUCCGGGCUUAACCCGGAAAGGUCAGCCGAUACUGCGGGGCUAGAGUGCAGAAGGGGCAACUGGAAUUCUCGGUGUAGCGGUGAAAUGCGUAGAUAUCGAGAGGAACACCUGCGGCGAAGGCGGGUUGCUGGGCUGACACUGACGCUGAGGCGCGAAAGCCAGGGGAGCGAACGGG